UUUAGCCUGAUAUGGGACAUCCGCCUUCCUCUGAAGAUCCGGAUCUUUCUGUGGCAAUGGAUCCGCGGGCGCCUCCCCUCUGGGAUCGAAGUCCUCAAGCGUAACGCCCCGGGCGAUGGGCUCUGUCCCAUCUGUGGCACGAUCGAGGAUGCUAACCACAUCUUCUUCUCGUGCUCCAUGGCCCAGUUCAUGUGGGACUGCUUCCGCGAAACGGUCGGU
rnacentral:rRNA from 1 species